rnacentral:rRNA from 1 species
AGUUCCAAUAGCAUAUAUUAAAGUUGUUGCAGUUAAAAAGCUUGUAGUUGAACUUGUGGCCUGGAUGGCACAGUCUGACGCUUAUGCAUGAGUACCUGAGCCAUUCAACUAUCCUUGGGUGGAACCUGUGUGGCAUUAAGUUGUCGUGUAGGGGAUGCCCAUUGUUUACUUUGAAAAAUUAGAGUGUUCAAAGCAGGCUUAUGCCUUUGAAUAUAUUAGCAUGGAAUAAUGAUAUAGGACUUUGGUACUAUUUUUUUGCUUUGUGCACUAAAGUAAUGAUUAGUAGGGACAGUUGGGGAUAUUAGUUUUUUUAGGUCAGUGGUGAAAUUCUUGGAUUCUUUAAAGACUAACUACUGCAAAAGCAUUUAUCAAGGAUGUUUUCA